rnacentral:pre_miRNA from 1 species
AUGAUACUCCCUUCGUCCCAAAAUUCCUGUCUUAACUUUGUCUAGAAAUGGAUGUAUCUAAAUACUAAAUUUGACUAGAUACAUUCGUAUCUAAACAAAUAUAAGAUAAGAAUUUUGGGACGGAGGGAGUACUUU